CUACAGAGGGUGCAAGCGUUGUUCGGAAUUACUGGGCGUAAAGCGCGCGCAGGCGGGAUGGCAAGUCGGAUGUGAAAGCCCUUGGCUCAACCAAGGAAGUGCAUUCGAAACUGCUGUUCUUGAGUGUCGGAGAGGGUGGCGGAAUUCCCGGUGUAGAGGUGAAAUUCGUAGAUAUCGGGAGGAACACCAGUGGCGAAGGCGGCCACCUGGACGAACACUGACGCUGAGGCGCGAAAGCGUGGGGAGCAAACAGGAUUAGAUACCCUGGUAGUCCACGCCGUAAACGAUGAGUGCUAGCUGUUGCGGGAGUUGACCCCUGCAGUGGCGAAGCCAACGCAUUAAGCACUCCGCCUGGGGAGUACGGCCGCAAGGCUAAA
rnacentral:rRNA from 1 species